rnacentral:tRNA from 1 species
UUAAAAUAAAGCGAUUAAUUGCAUUCAGUUUCGACCUGAACUUAGAAAGUUUCUAUUUUUUA